UUGAACGCUGGCGGCAUGCCUUACACAUGCAAGUCGAACGGCAGCACGGGGGCAACCCUGGUGGCGAGUGGCGAACGGGUGAGUAAUGCAUCGGAACGUGCCCUGAAGUGGGGGAUAACGUAGCGAAAGUUACGCUAAUACCGCAUAUUCUGUGAGCAGGAAAGCAGGGGAUCGCAAGACCUUGCGCUUUAGGAGCGGCCGAUGUCGGAUUAGCUAGUUGGCGAGGUAAAGGCUCACCAAGGCAACGAUCCGUAGCGGGUCUGAGAGGAUGAUCCGCCACACUGGGACUGAGACACGGCCCAGACUCCUACGGGAGGCAGCAGUGGGGAAUUUUGGACAAUGGGCGCAAGCCUGAUCCAGCCAUUCCGCGUGAGUGAAGAAGGCCUUCGGAUUGUAAAGCUCUUUCGGCCGGGACUAAAUCGCACGGGUCAAUACCCUGUGUGGAUGACGGUACUGGAAGAAGAAGCACCGGCUAACUACGU
rnacentral:rRNA from 1 species